AGAGUUUGAUCAUGGCUCAGGAUGAACGCUGGCGGCGUGCUUAACACAUGCAAGUCGAACGAUGAAGCCGGAGCUUGCUCUGGUGGAUUAGUGGCGAACGGGUGAGUAACACGUGAGUAACCUGCCCUUGACUCUGGGAUAAGCGUUGGAAACGACGUCUAAUACCGGAUACGACGCGCGAAGGCAUCUUCUGCGCGUGGAAAGAAUUUCGGUCAAGGAUGGACUCGCGGCCUAUCAGCUAGUUGGUGAGGUAACGGCCCACCAAGGCGACGACGGGUAGCCGGCCUGAGAGGGUGACCGGCCACACUGGGACUGAGACACGGCCCAGACUCCUACGGGAGGCAGCAGUGGGGAAUAUUGCACAAUGGGCGCAAGCCUGAUGCAGCAACGCCGCGUGAGGGACGACGGCCUUCGGGUUGUAAACCUCUUUUAGUAGGGAAGAAGCGAAAGUGACGGUACCUGCAGAAAAAGCACCGGCUAACUACGUGCCAGCAGCCGCGGUAAUACGUAGGGUGCAAGCGUUAUCCGGAAUUAUUGGGCGUAAAGAGCUCGUAGGCGGUUUGUCGCGUCUGCUGUGAAAACUGGAGGCUCAACCUCCAGCCUGCAGUGGGUACGGGCAGACUAGAGUGCGGUAGGGGAGAUUGGAAUUCCUGGUGUAGCGGUGGAAUGCGCAGAUAUCAGGAGGAACACCGAUGGCGAAGGCAGAUCUCUGGGCCGUAACUGACGCUGAGGAGCGAAAGCGUGGGGAGCGAACAGGAUUAGAUACCCUGGUAGUCCACGCCGUAAACGUUGGGAACUAGAUGUAGGGACCAUUCCACGGUUUCUGUGUCGCAGCUAACGCAUUAAGUUCCCCGCCUGGGGAGUACGGCCGCAAGGCUAAAACUCAAAGGAAUUGACGG
rnacentral:rRNA from 1 species